AUUGAACGCUGGCGGCAGGCCUAACACAUGCAAGUCGAACGAGUGGCGGACGGGUGAGUAAUGUCUGGGAAACUGCGUGAUGGGGGGGGAUAACUACUGGAAACGGUAGCUAAUACCGCAUACCAACGGCUGUGCCCAUAUGGGAUUAGCUAGUAGGUGGGGUAACGGCUCACCUAGGCGACGAUCCAUAGCUGGUCAGAGAGGAUGAACAGCCACACUGGAACUGAGACACGGUCCAGACUCCUACGGGAGGCAGCAGUGGGGAAUAUUGCACAAUGGGCGCAAGCCGGAUGCAGCCAUGCCGCGUGUAUGAAGAAGGCCUUCGGGUUGUAAAGCACUUUCAGCGGGGAGGCGUUACCCGCAGAAGAAGCACCGGCUAACUCCGUGCCAGCCGCCGCGGUAAUAC
rnacentral:rRNA from 1 species